rnacentral:rRNA from 1 species
UACGAAGGGUGCAAACGUUGCUCGGAAUUAUUGGGCGUAAAGCGCACGUAGGCGGCAUUGCAAGUCGGAUGUGAAAUCUUAUGGCUUAACCAUAAAAGUGCACCCGAAACUGCAGUGCUUGAGUACUUAAGAGGAUCGCGGAAUUCCCGGUGUAGAGGUGAAAUUCGUAGAUAUCAGGAAGAACACCCGUGGCGAAGGCGGCUCUCUGGGACGGUACUGACGCUGAGACGCGAAAGCGUGGGGAGCGAACAGG